GACGAACGCUGGCGGCGCGCCUAACACAUGCAAGUCGAACGAGCGAGAGAGAGCUUGCUUUCUCGAGCGAGUGGCGAACGGGUGAGUAACGCGUGAGGAACCUGCCUCAAAGAGGGGGACAACAGUUGGAACGACUGCUAAUACCGCAUAAGCCCACCGACCCGGCAUCGGGUAGAGGGAAAGGAGCAAUCCGCUUUGAGAUGGCCUCGCGUCCGAUUAGCUAGUUGGUGAGGUAAAGGCCCACCAAGGCGACGAUCAGUAGCCGACCUGAGAGGGUGACCGGCCACAUUGGGACUGAGACACGGCCCAAACUCCUACGGGAGGCAGCAGUGGGGAAUAUUGCACAAUGGGGGGAAACCCUGAUGCAGCGACGCCGCGUGAGCGAAGAAGUAUUUCGGUAUGUAAAGCUCUAUCAGCAGGGAAGAAGAAAUGACGGUACCUGACUAAGAAGCACCGGCUAAAUACGUG
rnacentral:rRNA from 1 species